rnacentral:tRNA from 1 species
GCCGGGGUGGCGGAACUGGUAGACGCGCCGGAUUCAAAAUCCGGUUCCUUCACGGGAGUGUCGGUUCGAUUCCGACCCUCGGUA